UAUAGAGGAACUCCGUCUAAGAACGCCACGUCCAGUGGCAAUGACUGGGUGCCCAACAUCGUG
rnacentral:sRNA from 1 species